AGGUUAUGUAUUUGUGUCUGUGAAUGCUAACACACAAUGAAUGUUACCUCUGCAGUUUAAUUAUUUUAAUUUUAUCCAAACAGCCAUAAGAAAGCAUGUAGAAGUUAGGAUGGAGUCAGUCAGGAGGAUGGAAGAUUUGGAGCCAUGAGGAAGGUGUCUGGAGAGAGAUCAUGAAUACACACCUGAAGUUCAAAGAGCAAGAUAAAUAAUAAUAUGCAAGUAUCAUGGGAUGAGGCCAAGAGAUAUAAUGCCAUAGAAGGCUAAGGCAGAUCAUUUAAAUGCUCAGCUAUUGAGGUGCAGUUUUAAAUAUAUAUUGUUUCUCUGUAUGAUUAUUGGCGACUGGUAUAAGGUAAAGAAAUACAGCUGCUAGGUUAAUUCAUUGUUUACAUUUAUAUUAAAGUUAAUUCAUUUACAGAAGCACGCCAGAUAAAUUAGAAGUGUUUUUUUUCUCUAUUCCUGGUUCAUUUGAAGACCCAAACCUGCCCCCUAAGGAUGAACACAUCAGGCAGCUUAUAAAAUGCAAUUUAUUUAAUGUUCCAUCAACCAUACCACCCUCAAGAAUGAUGUCAUUGACACAUUAAUUUGAGGACAUUUGAGGCCUCCAAGAAAACAAGAACUGGGCUUUGGUUGGAGAUGUCAUGGAGAGACCAUGAAGAGAAGAAAGAAGGAGGGUGAAGGUAGAAGAAAGAGAAAGAAGAUGGAGAGGAUAGAAGAUCUCCGUUAGAUGAAACGGAUGAGGAGCGUGUGCCAGCAGUGAAAUGGACCCUGAGGACAUGCUGAUGGGACAGAAAUAACCUGGGAAGGCUCAAACUCUAAGUGCUUAGGGAGCACGAUGGGGGAAUUAAGAGUCAAGCGAUAGGAAAAAUAGAUUAGGGGUAAUUCCUCCAUCAGUGUCCCAAAGCUAAACAAAUAAACCAUCGUCUGAGUCUCAUUCAUUUGGAAGCUAAUGGGGAUAUAAGUAAUUCAAUUAUUUUAUACAUAACAGUAUACAUUUUUCUGAAGUUAUCUAUGUAUUUAGAGUACAUAGAAGUCUGUA
rnacentral:lncRNA from 1 species